rnacentral:rRNA from 1 species
UGGGGAAUUUUGGACAAUGGGCGAAAGCCUGAUCCAGCCAUGCCGCGUGAGUGAAGAAGGCCUUCGGGUUGUAAAGCUCUUUUAGUCGGAAAGAAAGAGUUGCAAUGAAUAAUUGUGAUUUAUGACGGUACCGACAGAAAAAGCACCGGCUAACUACGUGCCAGCAGCCGCGGUAAUACGUAGGGUGCGAGCGUUAAUCGGAAUUACUGGGCGUAAAGGGUGCGCAGGCGGUCUUGCAAGUCAGAUGUGAAAGCCCCGGGCUUAACCUGGGAAUUGCGUUUGAAACUACAAGACUAGAGUGCAGCAGAGGGGAGUGGAAUUCCAUGUGUAGCAGUGAAAUGCGUAGAGAUGUGGAAGAACACCGAUGGCGAAGGCAGCUCCCUGGGUGGACACUGACGCUCAUGCACGAAAGCGUGGGGAGCAAACA